CAACUCUAAAGAAGAGGAUGCUUUAAAAUUUCUCCAGAAAAUGGAGGAGAGUCGAUGUAAGCCUGAUAUUUCUACUUACAUGCCAUUAUUUAAAAUGUGCUGCAGAAUGAGGAGACUGAAGGUUCUAUCCUUCUUAUUGAACCACAUGUUCAAAAAUGACGUGAGCAUGGAUCUUGGAACAUAUGCUCUUCUGGUUCGCGGCCUUUGUAGGAACAGGAAUCCUGAGCGUGCUUGUGCUGUUUUUGAACUAGCAGUGCUACGAGGGUUCCUCCCUACAGACACCAUGUAUGAUAAUCUCGUCAAAGAACUCGAGAAAAG
rnacentral:misc_RNA from 1 species